GUGGGGAAUAUUGGACAAUGGGCGAAAGCCUGAUCCAGCCAUGCCGCGUGUGUGAAGAAGGUCUUCGGAUUGUAAAGCACUUUAAGUUGGGAGGAAGGGCAGUAAGUUAAUACCUUGCUGUUUUGACGUUACCGACAGAAUAAGCACCGGCUAACUUCGUGCCAGCAGCCGCGGUAAUACGAAGGGUGCAAGCGUUAAUCGGAAUUACUGGGCGUAAAGCGCGCGUAGGUGGUUUUGUAAGUUGGAGGUGAAAUCCCCGGGCUCAACCUGGGAACUGUCUCCAAAACUUCAUGACUAGAGUACGGUAGAGGGUAGUGGAAUUUCCUGUGUAGCGGUGAAAUGCGUAGAUAUAGGAAGGAACACCAGUGGCGAAGGCGACUACCUGGACUGAUACUGACACUGAGGUGCGAAAGCGUGGGGAGCAAACAGGAUUAGAAACCCGAGUAGUCC
rnacentral:rRNA from 1 species